CGGAUUAGCGGCGAACGGGUGAGUAACGCGUGAGGAACCUGCCUCUUACAACGGGAUAGCCUCGGGAAACCGGGAUUAAUACCGUAUAAGACUCCGACAUCUCCCGAUGAUGAAGUCAAAGCGUUAGCGGUAAGAGAUGGCCUCGCGUCUGAUUAGCUUGUUGGCGGGGUAACGGCCCACCAAGGCGACGAUCAGUAACCGGCCUGAGAGGGUGAACGGUCACAUUGGAACUGAGACACGGUCCAA
rnacentral:rRNA from 1 species